CAGAGCGGCUGCAGCAGUCACGGGGCGCAUGGCGGACUCGGCCGAGCACAGUAGACCGAGCCGGCUCAGCGGGGACCUCACGGCGCCGGGACUCAGACAGCGGCCGCGACGCUUACCGAGCCCUGGGGCGGCGCGACGCUCCGGGAGGAGCGGAGAGGCCGGUGGCGGGGCGCGCCCGCCUCCUAAAGGGACCUGAGGCCGGCGGGGGCCGCUGGGAGCCGGGAGGCCUGCCCUGGAGGUUCUCUGACCAGACAGCGGGCGUCUGUGUGUGACCUUUUGCUGCAUGCUCAAGUUGUGCAGACCAGAGAGCGCUGUCUCCCUUCCUUUCAGUCAAUGCCCGCAAAGAGAAGCGGAAAAACAGUUCCACAAAAUCCAACUCCAUUGUGGAUGUCUUUCAUAUCCUUAACCUGGUGUUUUGUCCCUGGAAUGUGGUUAUGAAGAGGAUGGAUAUCGUCCUUCCUUUUUUGCAGUCUGACCACUACAAAAGAAGAUCCAAAAUCUACUGUGAGCUUUGCAAAGGGAAAGAAUAAGCUGUUCUUGAGUGAUUUCUCUCAGAAUUUCUAAUGGAGUCUCUGCUAAAUCAGAAUCCAACUCAUCCCAUCUUAGUCCAGCUUCUCCUUUGUCCACUGGGCUCACCUCCAAUUGCAUUUGUCUCAGGGAGGCCUCUACACAAUGAAUUAAGGAUUGUUUUCAAGCUUUAUGAAAGGCUUGUGAUUUUUCACAUACAAUCAUUACCUUUAAUAUUCAGGUAAAAAUUUAAAUAACAGCAUUAAGGUGAUUCUAGGAAUCUCAAUAUCCACAUAAAUACACUGAAUGGAUAUGCAUUUUUAUAAGUCAAAGUGUUCUUUUUAUUAUUAUUUUAACUCACUGCAAGUAGCUAUAUAAAAAACUAUGUGUCAUAUUCGAUUGUUUUUGACAGGCUUCAGUUAACUUUUCUAACUGAUAAUUAGCAAUAAAAUAAAUAAGUUAUAAGGGUUUGCAUAUGUACCUGCUCCCCUGUUCUCUACAAAGAACAGACAGAGUGAUGAAGAGAUAUCAUCAAUGUGUUAUCUACUCAUGUAGGAAAUGUGAUUGCCUUCACGCAGAGUGCCGCCUCUCACCUCGGAAGCUGUUAAGCCUUUCCAACAUCCCAGUGAUGGUCCAUGUACUGAGCUGUGGCUCCAAAGGCUGGGGAAUGUACAGCUGCAUUAACUGACUCCUGUAAAGAGAAAGGCCCAAAGGUGUCAUUAGCAACCCACUGAUGAUGCUUCAACAGAAUCCUCAUAAUUACCUUUAAAGGGUUAUUACAAGAUAUUGAUUGUAGUUCCCUGCUGAGUGCUGAAGAGUUGAUGCUUUUGAACUGUGGUGUUGGAGAAGACUCUUGAUAGUCCCUUGGACAGAAGGAGAUCCAACCAGUCCAUCCUGAAGGAAAUCAGCCCUGAAUAUUCAUUGGAAGGGCUGAUGCUAAAGCUCCAAAAUUUUGGUCAUCUGAUACAAAGAGCCAACUCAUUAGAAAAGACACCGAUGCUGGGAAAGAUUGAAGGUGGAAGGAGAAGGGGAUGACAGAGGAUGAGAUGGAUGUGAGUUUGAGCAAGUUCUGGGAGUUGGUGAUGGACAGGGAAGCCUGGCAUGCUGCAGUCUGUGGGUCGCAAAGAGUUGGACAUGACUGAGCGACUGAACUGAACUGAUAGUCCCCUGUGCUAUAAAGUAGGUCCUUGUUGUUUAUCUAUUUUUAUGUAGAAUAGUUUAUAUAUGUUAAUCCCAAACUCCUAAUUUGUCCCUCCCCUCACUUUCCCCUUUGAUAACCAUAGGCUUGUUUUCUGUGACUCUUGGCCUAUUUCUGGUCUGUAAAUAAGUGUAAUUGUAUCAUUCUUUUAGAUUCCAUAUGUAAGUGAUAGCAUAUGAUAUUUUCCUUUCUCUGAUUUACUUCCCUUAGUAUGAUAAUCUCUAGAUCCAUUCAUGCUACUACUGCAAAGGGCACUAUUUCAUUCUUUUUCAUGGCUGAGCAGUAUUUCAUUGUAUAAAUAUACUACAUUUUCUUUAUCAGCUCAUCUGUCAAUGAACAUUUAGGUUUCUUCUAUGCCUUGGCUAGAUAGCCAUUCUCUGGUUGUGUCCUCACAUGGCAGAAGGGGCAAGUCUCUACUAAGCUGCUUUUUUUUUGUUUAGGGCUUCGUUUAUAAGAAUCCCAUUAAGAAGGAUUCUUUCCUAAUGACCUAAUCACUUUCCAAAGGCCAAACCUCCUAACACUAUCAUUUUGGGGGUUAGAAUUCAACAUUUGAAUUGGGGGGGACCCAGACUUUCAGACCAUAGCUUCUGUCUUCUGUGCUCCUGAAGGAUGUGUUCUCAGAGAGCUUCUGGCUCACUACCUUUGUAAUCUUGUAGAUCUCUACCCGGAUGUAAUCGUCACGAUGGGUGUUCUCUGGCCAGCAUACAUCCCCCAAACCUGUACUAUUUAUAUAUAUAUAUGCUUUAAUUUUCUUCCAAGAACUUUACAAAUGUGAUGUAUUAUAAAUGUUAUUCUUCUUUAUUUGUUAUGUGACUCCUCUUACAAGAUUAUAUCCUACUGAAGUCAUUGCUUUGUUCCUUUUUGCUCAUUCCCAUAUCUCUCUGUGGACCUAGAACAGUGAGCAAUACAUCACAUGCCCUCCUAUGAAAGAAUGGUUCAUUACGAAAGCCAUCCUAAAUGAUCAGGGUAAUUUUGUUAUUGCCCAGUAUUUUUACAGUACUACAUACAGAAUAUUUACAGAAAUAUUCUGUAAAAUAGCCUGCAGAUAUGUCUUCUUUAGAAGUGACUGAGUUCUUUGAAAAUGAAAAUGUAGUUAAACUUCUUUAGUUUCAGGUUCUCCGUUCAUAAAUGUGAAUCAAUAAAUAAUAAAACCCCAAAUCCUUAGCUUGGCAUCUUGCCAUGGCUAUAAUUACCUUGCCGGCCAUGUCUCUCACUGCCUACCUCACAGCCUGUAUACUAAUUAAUAGGAGCUAUCUACAUGCCCCAGAUAAUUCCAUGAUUUUUUCUCAUAUUUAGCUUUCUUGUACCUUAGGUCUCUAUGUUAUGAAUUUACAGGUUCUACUAAAACAUUAGCUUCAGGAUGAUUUUUAUUUGUUUGAGAAGCUUAACAUUCAAAGUUUGUUAAGCUCCUACAGAACUCUUUUUUUACCUCCAUCUGAGUGACCAUUGCAUUUUGUUUUGUGAUACUACAUUUUCUUGUCUCUGCUGAAAUAUUAGUGGUAGAUAUUGCUUUAUCAAGAAAAUCAGGAAAAAAUUUUUAGUUACUUAUUGGGGUCAUUCAACAUGAAAUCAUACGUUGAAGGUCAUGUUUUUCCAUAUGCAGCUCUCUCUGAUCACCCUCUCAGGCGACAUUAUGAUUUAAUUCAAGUUCUUCCACCGUAAGUUACCAGGAUAUUUGUUCCAAACUGGCUUCAAGGGAUUCAGGGUCUGUGACUUACCUCCCAUGCUCUGAAUAUGUUGGUCACUUUUUUUAUAUUUUGUUGAUUUUCCUGUUUCUUUUUCCAAAUAGACUUCAUUUGCAUCAGAAGGUGCUCCUGCAAAAUAACUAUAAUUUGGAGCACUAGAAAAGCAAAGUUAGUACAUUUCAGAUACCUAAAAGAAGAUAUAAAGGGAUGAACAUGGGACAAACAGUAAAGAGAGCAGAGAGGUCAGUGAUUUUCCUUUGGAAUACUAACUCCUAAAUCUGAGGAGAUCAAGCAAAGAUAGAAUGUCUAAAUUUGAAAAAUGUAAUCCAUUAUCUGAGGAAUCUAGCAUUGAAUUUAUAAUAACCUUGUCAAUUUUCAGAAGUGAAUCUUGCUUUUGUUUUGUUUUUUUCACAUUAUGCAUUCAACAUGAACAAAUUCCUAGAAAGACACAAAUUACCAAAAUUAACUCAAGAAGAAAUGUGAACAGACCCAUAUGUAGUAAAGAAUUGAAUCGAUAAUGAAAAAUUUUCCAACAAAGAGAAGCCCAGAAUCAGAUGGUUUCACUGAUGAAAUGCACCAAUCAUUUAAAGAAAAAUCAACACUAACCUUUCUCCAACUCUUCUAAAAUAAUAGAAGAGGAAGGAAUACCUUUUAAUUCAUUCUGUGAGGUCUCUUGCUUUAUAUUUAAUUGUGAAAUAUUAGCCCUCAGUUUUCCUGUGGCACUGUUAGAAAAUGUUGGCCAGUGUUUCUAAAUCUGCUGUAGUUAUAACGGGCUCAUUAUAAUCAUGUUUAUAGUAGCCAAUGACUCUUACUGAAACUAGAUAUUUAUCUCCCACAUUGUGUGCAUGCUUAGUGGCUCAGUUGUAUCUGACUCUUUGCAACCCCAUGGACUGUAGCCCACCAGGUUCCUCUGUCCAUGGGAUUCUCCAGGCAAGAGUAUUAGAUUGGGUAGCUCUUCCCUUCUCCGGGGGAUCUUCCUGACCCAGGGAUCAACCCCAGGUCUCCUGUAUUGCAGGCAGAUUCUUAACGGUCUGAGCCACCAGGGAAGCCCAUCUACCACAUUACUUCUGAAAUACCACCAUCCUAAUCUUCAUCAAUUUCAUAAUCAUUCCUCUCAGCCCAACAGAAUUUAAACAUCAGGAGAGCAAGGAUGUUACCUAGUUUCUUCACUGCUUUAUCUCUAGAUUUCAGAAUAGUGCCUGGCACAUGGUGUUCAGAAAUUGUAUUUGUUAAUAGCAUAAAAUGAUAAUGGUUAUUAACCAAUUAU